UGCAAGUCGAGCGGUAACAGGGGUAGCUUGCUACCCGCUGACGAGCGGCGGACGGGUGAGUAAUGCAUAGGAAUCUGCCCGGUAGUGGGGGAUAACCUGGGGAAACCCAGGCUAAUACCGCAUACGUCCUACGGGAGAAAGGGGGCUUCGGCUCCCGCUAUUGGAUGAGCCUAUGUCGGAUUAGCUAGUUGGUGAGGUAAUGGCUCACCAAGGCGACGAUCCGUAGCUGGUCUGAGAGGAUGAUCAGCCACAUCGGGACUGAGACACGGCCCGAACUCCUACGGGAGGCAGCAGUGGGGAAUAUUGGACAAUGGGGGCAACCCUGAUCCAGCCAUGCCGCGUGUGUGAAGAAGGCCCUCGGGUUGUAAAGCACUUUCAGCGAGGAAGAACGCCUAGUGGUUAAUACCCAUUAGGAAAGACAUCACUCGCAGAAGAAGCACCGGCUAACUCCGUGCCAGCAGCCGCGGUAAUACGGAGGGUGCAAGCGUUAAUCGGAAUUACUGGGCGUAAAGCGCGCGUAGGUGGCUUGAUAAGCCGGUUGUGAAAGCCCCGGGCUCAACCUGGGAACGGCAUCCGGAACUGUCAGGCUAGAGUACAGGAGAGGAAGGUAGAAUUCCCGGUGUAGCGGUGAAAUGCGUAGAGAUCGGGAGGAAUACCAGUGGCGAAGGCGGCCUUCUGGACUGAUACUGACACUGAGGUGCGAAAGCGUGGGUAGCAAACAGGAUUAGAUACCCUGGUAGUCCACGCCGUAAACGAUGUCGACCAGCCGUUGGGUGCCUAGAGCACUUUGUGGCGAAGUUAACGCGAUAAGUCGACCGCCUGGGGAGUACGGCCGCAAGGUUAAAACUCAAAUGAAUUGACGGGGGCCCGCACAAGCGGUGGAGCAUGUGGUUUAAUUCGAUGCAACGCGAAGAACCUUACCUACCCUUGACAUCUACAGAAGCCGGAAGAGAUUCUGGUGUGCCUUCGGGAACUGUAAGACAGGUGCUGCAUGGCUGUCGUCAGCUCGUGUUGUGAAAUGUUGGGUUAAGUCCCGUAACGAGCGCAACCCUUGUCCUUAUUUGCCAGCGAGUAAUGUCGGGAACUCUAAGGAGACUGCCGGUGACAAACCGGAGGAAGGUGGGGACGACGUCAAGUCAUCAUGGCCCUUACGGGUAGGGCUAC
rnacentral:rRNA from 1 species